AGAAAUUGUAUUAGAUAUUGGUAACUUGUUUUAACAACUUCUCAACAUUACCUAUAAGUUGACACAACAUACACACCCCCUCUUUCUCUUGGACAUAUGCUGGACACAUAGGACAUAUACACGGCACCCACAAUUCCCCUCCCCCAUGAAAAUCACACAGACACACCCAACCCAUGGUUGGACCUCAGGACAAAGAACUCUCAGGAACCAAUGGAACGUGGACACCAGGCCUGAUCAGGACUACCCAAGACCCAGAUCGACCAACCGGAAGGCCGGACUCGCAGAUCUACCUACUUUGCUUGUUGACUAUAUAGUACUGAACAUUUCUGGAAACUGCCUCUUUCCCGGACGAUUCACUAGGAGUCAGACUGAAAGAGCCUUGCUGCAAGAUUUUACUAAGAUAUCUUUACAUGUAAUUAAACUGCCUUAUUAUAAAAUUAUCCACCUCGUCCUAUUGUCUCCUCUUGUUCUCCUGUCAACAGUAAACGUUUUACUAACAGACUUGGUAGCAGAGGAUGGUUAAAACAUAUUUGUAUACGGCCCAAUAGAAAAUCCAUCGGACAGGAGACGAGAGGGAGAAAUUUAUCCAGAGGAGAGGUGACCUUUUCGAGGGAGAAUCGCGAUUCAACACACACAGGAAACUGAUCAAAGAGCUCGAAACUAAAGAGGUGAGCAGAUGCCCGUUUGACCAAAAUCUGUAUAUUGUAUUAUAGCCAAUAUCUAAAUUCAAUGAUCAGGAGUACUGUGGUGAGUGAAUUGUUGCUAAAUUUAUGUGGAAUUGUUUAGAAUUUAAGGCAUUGUGUACAGAUAUCUAAGUAUUAAUAGGUCAAAGACUUAUUCACAUAGUCUGGCACUACGCGGUAUGCUGAUCGAGUAGGUGUACAGUGAAGAAUAAGCUUUAUAACGAUUCACAUAGUCGGGCCAUAUUUGACAGUCGAUCAGGUAGGGGUUACCGUGAAGAAUCCAUAAUUAAAAGAUGGGAUCCAAAUAGCCGGGCAGUAGUUAGAUUUGGCAAAUCAGCUAGGUGUUACCGUGAAGACCCAUAAAAAAAAAAAAAAAAAUAUAUAUAUAACGAUUCACACAGUCGGGCCAUAUCUGGCAGUCGAUCAGAUAGGGGUACCGUGAAGAAUCCAUAAUUAAUCUAAUGUGGUUUCAAAUAGUCGUGCAGUAGCUAUACUUAGCUAGGUGUUACGUGAGAAAUCUAAUGUGGUUUCAAAUAGUCGUGCAGUAGCUAUACUUAGCUAGGUGUUACGUGAGAAAUCUAAUGUGAUAUUGCAUGUGUAAGUUGUGUUGUAAUUGUAUGUGUAAGUUGUGUUGUCGCAAUGUGGGGGAUUGAACGUUCCACGAGACCAAUUGCUACUAACUAGCCAUAUGCUAGUUGAGGCUGUGCUAAAGUGACCGCCGUGUCGAUGUGUAUAUAUUGCUGUGAAGCAACUAUUUUCUGCUGAUGAGUUGACCGGAUUUUUCCCUCUCCUGCUGUUGAUAAAUCCCUAAGGGUGAGAAUCAAUUUGAAAAUUAUUAUAGAAGCGCGUGAAUUACUAGUAUAUUGUCCCCAAAGGAAACUUCUGAAAUAUUUUGCCAAAGUAUUUAAUUAAUUAAAUUAGCGAAAAGCAAUAAUGUUGUUUUUUUAUUAAAAGUACCUAAAACUGUCAUUCCAAUUAUAACAGGAGCGCGUGAAUAUAUUCGUAUAUUGUUUCAAAGAGAAUAUAGCUGAUAUAUUGUUGGAAAACGAAAAUAAUCCAUCGAAUACACGGCAAUAAAAUCCUUUGUCCACACGAGUCGGACACGAGAGUGAGGGAAGAGAGGGGAAGAAAAAUACAUCGCUGGUUUCGAUCAGUGACGGGCUAAAGUAUACAAAGAUAAUAAUAGACCCAGACAUAGCUUAACGACAAAAUGACCACGACUAUCGUCCCCAAACACAAAUUCAACGAAUAUUUAGAUCAGAGAAUAAAAGACAGAGCAGGCGGGAAAUUACACUACAAACCCGUUAAAAAGAUUUGGGAGGAAGUAAGGGAUAGGAUGGACUCAAACAGGUUUUCUUAGUGGAGUCGCCCCAUCAAAAGGGCAACUCCUCAUUAUGGAGAAAGAAUUGGAGGAAGCAGUGAAGCAAGGGAUAGAAUGUGAAGUUGAUAAGAAUAAGAGUCACUUAUAAAAAAAAAAAAAAAAAAAAAGAAGGGACAAAGCAAAGGGAAAAGGCACAGGCUGAGAUGAGAAUAGGUUUAUGGGCAAUUGAGGAAAUUAGGAAAGCUCUCCCUUACCGGAAACCUGAUACGAUGGGAGUGGUCACUGGAGCACCAACUGACACCAAAGAGGGCAGGCCCAAUAAUAAUGAUGGCCCACCUACCACCACAGCAACCCCAUCGGCCCCCACCCAUCUAUACCCAGAACUGCCACAGGGAGAGAAAAAAGCACCACCUCCCUAUUUUCAAAAUCCAUUCACUCAGCAAUCACCUUCCCCCUUCCAGGGCAUGUCUGACGAAUAUGCUCCAUGGCCCUGAAGCUGCUCACCACUAACCUACACUCAUCAUUGACCUGGACUACUGAAGCAUCAAAGGCUUUUGCACUCUUGAAAACAGAUCUCUAAGUGGCAGUAGCCUUAACAGCACCUGACUAAAAAAAAUAAGUUCCAUCUGGAUGUUUCUGAAAAGGAGGGAUUUACAUCAUCCAUCCUUUUCCAGAACCUAGAGGGGGAGAGAAGAGUGUUGAGGUAUCACUCCUCCAAACUGGACUACAUUGAAGAAGGACAAACCACAUGUUCCAGGUAUGUGGCUGCAGUGGCAAAAGCUAUUGGAAAAACAGCCCACAUGAUAAUGUGCCAUCCAUUGGAAAUCCACACCCACCAUGGGGUUGCAGAAUAUCUGAUGAGCAAAGAAUUCACGUUCAGCGCUGAAAGGAAAACGAAAAUCCAGAAUAAAUGCACACAAUCACACAUCACAUUUGUCAACACUGACAAAAACAUGGCAGACGCACUCAAUGCUGAAGGUCUACCCCACUCCUGUGCAGAAAGAGCUGCACAGGAACUGAAACGGAGACCUGACCUGGGGAAUGAACCACUCACCAACACACACAGAUAUGGGGAAAGACAAUGUGACUAAUGGAAAAAGGUACCUGUUAGUUAUGGUAGACAGGUUCUCUAAAUGGGUUGAGGCAAUACCAACAGCAGGGGAGGAUGCAAAAUAGGUCAUUAAGUGGCUGCAAACCAAACUCAUGUGUGUUGUUUAAUGACAAACGCUCCAUGUACCAAUAGGGUCGGAUGUGUAAAUGUCAACUGAUUAAUGGAUGUUGUUUAAUGAUGGGGUUAGUGUACAGGCCACAAUCUCAUAAGUCUCGUGGAACGCGCCAAUCAAAUGUAUGUGCAGGUUUGAAGUUGAUUUGGGUUGAAGUCCUGCCCCUGGCGUUGCUGGCCAUGAUAGCCUCUCCAGGUGCAGGCACCCAUCUCUCUCCUCAUGAGACAAUGGCUGGAGGAGUCAUGCUUGGUCCACCAAGGAAGGGAGGUCAUAUGCCCGCCCUUGAUGUACAACAAAUUGUAAUGUUUGAUAAAUGACGGAACAUUCUGCAGCUCUCUCCACACAGAUUCAUAAGGUCCAACGGGGAAGCAGAAGGGAGAUCUGGCACACGGAAGUUAAAAUUGGUGACUGGGUGGGGUUAAUGUCCACAAGAGAAAGUGGCUAGAACCCAGGUGGAAUGGACAGUACGAAGUGAGGGAGGUUACUUCACACUCAGUCCAGGUCAAAGGUAAAUCAGGCGCACCUUGGCACCACCUCACACAUUGCACUCCAGCCCCAAUCCCUUCUAGAACACUGACAGAAGUCAGAGCUGAUUUAAACAGCUUAAAUUCGAUUCCAAAUGAAGACAUUCCUGACACAGGUGAUGCGGUAUCAAACUCCGCCUCCCCUGAUAAAGGAACCUCGCCCAGUUAGAGGGAUAUUUCUCCCUCCCUGGGCAAGGCUAGGGAUAUCUGGCCCCUUAUUUGACAUUUGGGGUGUCCCUGGGCACUUUCACAUGGUUAAUAGAAUAAACUGUAACCGGAUCCCCAUGGAUGUAUGUCACGGACACUCUAGUCUAACUAGGUAAUAAUAGAUUAAAAAAUUAAAAAAAUCAAAAAUUUAGAAAACAAUAGUUAAAAUAAGAAACUAAUAUGGCUCAAAUUGAGAAGGUUGAAUGAGAGUGGGUGGAGAGCUAUGCAGAGAAUGGACAGAAGAUGGCAGUAUUGUAGCACCCAAAUGGUCUCCCAGCCGACUGGUUGAAUGCUGGUGACAUAAUUUUGUUUUUUGGAGUAAACAUUAAGGUUAAGGGUUUCCGUGUACCCAGAGAUAAGAUAUCUUAAAAGAAUACACUCAUAUGGGAAUAGGAGUUUUACUUUCUGAGUUUUAUUUAGGCAAGGGACUUUGAGAAGAUAAAGGGUUCUUUUGGUAUGUUUAGAUAUGGAACACGAAUGUAGGUGUAACAUUUUGACCUGUUUUCUGUUUCCAUUGCAUUUUCCGGCGACUUGAUCACUCGCGGGGAAAUGUGGUGAGAAUAAUGAGAUUGUGUCAUUUGGGAUACUAGUUUUGAGGUAAAUUGAUUAUAAUAGAGUUUAUAACUCUUGACCAUAAGGUAAGCAUUUGUAUUGGCCAUUAGAAGAUAGAGAUAGGUUAAUUAAGGUUAUGUUAGGACUUUAAAGAUUGACACUAUAAGACCUGUUGUUAUUUUUAAAUCCAUGCAGAUAAAGUCAAAACAGUGAAACACUUAGUUAAUAUUGUAAAGGAACACAUAGAAAAAGGCAGACAGAUGGGUCUACCCCGCACUGUUCAGACCUUGAAGGUUUGAGAGCAGAGUGGGGAGGGUGGACCAGGAAAUGAGCAAGGUAGGCUGUGAAAUAAGAUAGGAGAAAGGGGUUAACAUAUAUAAGCAGCACAGAUACAUUUCAAAGUAGAUAAGCCACUUGACAGAGAAUUGGAAAAGAAUAGAUAUGAAUGUACGCCCAAGGGAGAAUUGGAUAUGCGGGGAAUAAAAGGGACGUUCCUAGAAUAUGAUGUACUAAGUUAUUAUUUAGAGUAGGUAAGGUUGAUACCUGGCCAGAGCCAGGUAUCAAACGAAGGAGGGUACAUUGUGGACUAGGAAAGGAUGGGGCCUAUUGGAUAAUAAACUUAUUUAAAAUUAAACAUUUAUAGCUAAAAAAUUAGGCAUAGAAGUUAAAUAUAUAAUCAGAAAGAACAAAUGAGGAACUGUUUGCUAACCAGACCUGUAUGUCCAAGAGUUUAUACAUUGCAGGUGAAUUAAGGGAGAAGGUGAAUCACUCGACCUGGGGGCAUAUCGCACUUGGAGGGUGAGACACACUGACACUGCCGAAUGAUCACAGAGUUAAGGAGAAGAACUGUUGCUAAUAAAGCUCAGGGGUCAACUCCUUAAUGAAGAAUUCCCUGACCCCGACCUUUCCUCACUGUGUUCGUUCAUAGAAGUGAAAGUGUUGCUUGAUCUCUGGCUGAUGAUGUGUUCUCUGGGAGAGGGUGGGGUUUUACAGGACUGCUUGUAGUCCUGAGCUGUCUGAUCAGGAUACGAUGGGGAUGAUACCAUCGCAGUACUGCCGGAACCACCACCAGUUCCAACGGACCAGGGUUCAGCCGGCCUCCUCCACCACUUCAAGACCAAGUCCCACGCCAUCACCUAAGCUCUCCAAUCUGGUACAGAUAAUAAAUAUAAAAGACAUCUCAGAUAGUGAACAUUUGGGGACUGAAACUGAGUAUGAGGAAAGGGAGAAUAUGUGGUUGACCUACAAAACACUUAAUAGAAAGGACUGUGUCGUAUGUGGACAUGCCAGACCUAUUCUGGCUGCUCACCCAUUUGUCCUAAGUAAUGGGGAAGGUUGGAUGUGCAUAUUGGAAAAGUUCGAGCCAAAUUCAACCCUGUGUAAAACUCUGAGUCUUGUGUUCCCAGUGGUCCCUCCCCAGAAGGUACCGUGGGGAGUUAAGGCAUAUGGGGGAUAUAACAGCUGUAUCCCUGGCACAGGUAGCGGUAUGGACUAUGGAGGGCUCCCUGCUACUACCUGCAUCACUAAUACCACUAGGAACUAGAGGUGUUGCUGAUGUAUGGUGGAUGUGUGGACCUGCCAGGCGAUUAACCCCAUUUUUGAAAGGAAAUUGUCGUUGCUCAUGUGGUUUGGCCAGUCUGAUACCACCGUUGCCUAUUAUUAUAGCUAAUCAACUUCUGGGAGCUACACAGGACACAGAGGCUUGGGACCAACCCAGGAGACGGCAGAAACGUGACGCUCCUUGGUCCGAGGGUACAGAUAACAUGCACACCAACCUGUUGGGGGUCCCAAUAGGGGUCCCCCACGAAUUCCAGACAUUAACCAGGAAUGAUGGCCUGUGGCAUCUGAUGCCCAUCAUUGGCCCAGCUAUUGUUGAUGUUAAAACAAAAGGUCUGGAUCAAUUAUAAACACACCCACACAGGACUUACAGGGAUGGCUGAACAAUUGGAUGCUGCCUCACAAACCAGUAGACACAAUAGACUAACACUGGACAUAAGUCUGGCCAACAAGGGAGGUGUAACAGUGUUGCACGUUUGUUCCUAACAAUACUAGUCCGGAUGGGAGCAUUUCAAAAGCUCUGAGUGGGUUGGCAAGGUUAACAGUGGAGAUGAAGGGUCUUGCAGGUGUGGAGGAGAGUGGACUGUUCCCCUGGCUGGGUGGUUGUUUGGUAAGUACACUGCAAUGAUGAUUACUGGAUUUCUGACACUAGUUGUUGUUUUUCAUUUCUGUGUUGCCUGUAUCAUACCUUGUUUGAAGAAGUUUGUUACAGAUGUGUAAGGAGCCUCUAGUAUGAUGCCGUUGCUUGAUGCUCCAGUUGGAGAGGCUGAUACGAAAACGAGCUUCCGCAGGAGAGUGGGCUGACAGAGGAGGACCCUUGGUUUGCUGUAGUUGAUGUUGAAUGAAUAAAAAGUGAUGUUUGUCCUCCCUGUUGUGAAGGUUUGAAGUUCCCGGGUGGCGACGAGCCCACCUGGUACAGGUUGCAUAGAGGGAUGGACCUGAGGGUUUAACAUAUUCUCGUUUUUUGGUUUACUAAUGUGUGGUUGGCCACUCCAGGGGUAGUUAUUGGAGUGGUCUCCUUUUUGGUCCUUGCUCAAUUACGACUCAACUUACAUUGAUGCUAUUGGUCUCCCUAGGGGGUGCCAGAUGAAUAUAAACUGGCGGACCAAGUGACAGCUGGGUUUGAAUCAUCAUUUUGUUGGUGGUGUACAGUUAAUAAAAAUGUGGACAGAAUUAACUACAUUCAUUUUAAUGUCCAGAAACUGGGCAAUUGGACUCAACAAGGCUUCGAGGCGGUCCAUGGACAAUUGGCAGCUACGUCCUUGAUGGCAUUUCAAAAUAGAAUCGCGGUUGAUAUGUUAUUGGCUGAACGGGGGGGGGGGGUCUGUGCAAUGUUUGGUGAACAGUGUUGUACUUUCAUUCCCAAUAACACAGCUACGGAUGGGAGUCUAACUGUAGCAUUGGAGGGACUUCGUACCCUUAAUGGUAAGAUGAAACAGCAUUCUGGAGUGGACACUACUAUGUGGGACUCAUGGAUGGAUGCUUUUGGUAAAUAUAAGACGCUGGUUUCCUCCAUCCUAGUAUCAAUUUCUGUUUUUGCGGCCAUUCUUGUACUUUGUGGAUGCUGUUGCAUACCAUGUGCGCGCACGCUUGCUAGCCGUGUUAUAACUGCCGCCAUAGACCCUAAUCAGGAAAGGGCCCAAAUGUUCCCAUUGCUUGAUGAUGGGGAAGCUGGACCUGUCUAUCUAUUUGAGGACUAAGAUACUUUUAUGUCACGUCUCUUGUGAGACGUGAAGAGAGGGAAUCAAAAAUUUGUCUUCUGACAAAUUUUAUCCCAUAGCUUUGUCUUUUUAUACUUUUAUGUCACGUCUCUUGUGAGACGUGAAGAGAGGGAAUUAAAAAUUUGUCUUCUGACAAAUUUUAUCCAUUAGUUUUGUCUUUUAUAUACUUUUAUGUCACGUCUCUUGUGAGACGUGAAGAGGGGGAUUUGUAAGAAAUUGUAUUAGAUAUUGGUAACUUGUUUUAACAACUUCUCAACAUUACCUAUAAGUUGACACAACAUACACACCCCCUCUUUCUCUUGGACAUAUGCUGGACACAUAGGACAUAUACACGGCACCCACAAUUCCCCUCCCCCAUGAAAAUCACACAGACACACCCAACCCAUGGUUGGACCUCAGGACAAAGAACUCUCAGGAACCAAUGGAACGUGGACACCAGGCCUGAUCAGGACUACCCAAGACCCAGAUCGACCAACCGGAAGGCCGGACUCGCAGAUCUACCUACUUUGCUUGUUGACUAUAUAGUACUGAACAUUUCUGGAAACUGCCUCUUUCCCGGACGAUUCACUAGGAGUCAGACUGAAAGAGCCUUGCUGCAAGAUUUUACUAAGAUAUCUUUACAUGUAAUUAAACUGCCUUAUUAUAAAAUUA